AAAGAUACCAAUGAAUCACGUGGGUUUGGAUUUGUUACAUACAAGACGGUGGAGGCUGCAAAGAAGGCCAUAGAAGAUCCACAGAAGACACUUGUGGGGAGAACUAUCAUUGUUAAGCUCGCUGAUACUCACAAGGCCAAAACAGUACAAACGCAAUUGCCUGGACCAGUGGUUACAGUACCCUUGCCAAUGGCAGCUGGAUACACACAGCCUGGAAAAGAACAUCCUGGUGCUGCACCUGUUGGCUAUUCCUAUCCUCAAACUAUGGCAUCAUACCCUGCUUCUUCUUACCC
rnacentral:misc_RNA from 1 species